UAUUAGCUCAGUUGGUUAGAGCGCGCCCCUGAUAAGGGCGAGGUCUCUGGUUCAAAUCCAG
rnacentral:tRNA from 3 species